AUUGAACGCUGGCGGCAGGCCUAACACAUGCAAGUCGAACGAGUGGCGCACGGGUGAGUAAUGUCUGGGAAUCUGCCCGAUGGAGGGGGAUCACUACUGGAAACUGUAGCUAAUACCGCAUACUCUCAGAUGCACCCAUAUGGGAUUGGCUAGUAGGGGGGGUAAAGGCUCACCAGGGCGACUAUCCCUCGCUGGUCUGAGAGGAUGACCAGCCACACGGGAACGGAGACAAGGUCCAGACUCCUACGGGAGGCAGAAGUGGGGAAUAUUGCACAAUGGGCGCAAGCCUGAUGCAGCCAUGCCGCGUGUAUGAAGAAGGCCUUAGGGUUGUAAAGUACUUUCAGCGGGGAGGCGUUACCCGCAGAAGAAGCACCGGCUAACUCCGUGCCAGCAGCCGCGGUAAUAC
rnacentral:rRNA from 1 species